UACGUAGGUGGCAAGCGUUGUCCGGAAUUAUUGGGCGUAAAGAGCUUGUAGGCGGUUUGUCGCGUCUGCUGUGAAAUUUCGGGGCUCAACCCCGAACUUGCAGUGGGUACGGGCAGACUAGAGUGUGGUAGGGGAGACUGGAAUUCCUGGUGUAGCGGUGAAAUGCGCAGAUAUCAGGAGGAACACCGAUGGCGAAGGCAGGUCUCUGGGCCACUACUGACGCUGAGAAGCGAAAGCAUGGGGAGCGAACAGG
rnacentral:rRNA from 1 species